rnacentral:misc_RNA from 1 species
GCAAACUUGGUCAUUUAGAGGAAGUAAAAGUCGUAACAAGGUUUCCGUAGGUGAACCUGCGGAAGGAUCAUUAGUGAAUAAAUUUGGGUGGGUUGUUGCUGACCUCCUCGGAGGUAUGUGCACACUUGCUCACAGUUUCAUUCAUCUCCCUUCCACCUGUGCACUCCCUGUAGGCUGGGCUAUCUCCCUUCAGUGCGCUUUGAGUGCGCUGGUCAUGAGGAUUUGCAACUCUGCUGUCCUUGGAUGGUCCCAAUCUAUGUUUUUACCAACUCUGCAUGUAAUUGAAUGUCUGUUCUGGGUUCAUUUGACCCAAUAAAACCCUAUACAACUUUCAACAACGGAUCUCUUGGCUCUCGCAUCGAUGAAGAACGCAGC